CUCAUGGGGAGCAACCGCGAACGCCCCGUGAGGCGCCAGCCAAAAGUUCGCAUGUAUCCACAAAAAGGACGCAUGCCAUG
rfam:Sulfitobacter mediterraneus strain 1FIGIMAR09 PM02_001, whole genome shotgun sequence.